rnacentral:lncRNA from 1 species
ACAGCAACUCCUAGGCUAAGGCAUCACAAAUCAGGUCACUCUAGUCCUAAAAUAUGAAAUACCUAGCCUAUCUCUAGCAUGAAUAAUAUCUCAUAACAUAUUUCAUAACACAAAAGUAAUGGUAUUUUGGGAAAUCACUGUUCAGGCUCUGGCUGAUUGUACACACUGCUCCUUCCCGCUUUCUCUUAGAAACUCUUACUCGUUUUAGAAAAAUCAUUUAUUUUCAAAAUUUUCCUCAUUUCCUCAGUUUGAGUCAAUAUAUACCCGAAGGUACAUCCGAAUCCCUCAAACCAAGGCUCUGAUACCAACUUGUAACGACGUGAAAAUUCAAAACAAUUUUUCAUUUUUAAAAUGCAUACUCUUCAUAACAUAUCAUAUAAAAAUCUCUUUUAUUCAAUUACAAAGCACAACUCCAUUAUUAAUCCAGGAUCCUCCUAACUCUUUCUCUGGUGUGUACAAUCAAGUCGGUGUCGUCCCGUGAUCUUGAGAAGAAAACCUGAAACACAUAACACAUAACACGGUAAGCACGAAGCUUAGUGAGUUCCCAAAAAUACCACAUACAAAACAUAUUAGCCACUCGAGGCUAUAACUCUGUCUGACCCUUUGGUCAAUGUGUCUCAGUGGGACCCUCCAGUCCCAUAACUCUAUGGACCCUCUGGUCCUAACUCUGUGGACCUUCCGGUCCUAACUCUGUAAACUCUGUAACAUACAUAGCAUAAAUCACAUAGAAAUAAUGCAGUGUAUCACAUCAUAUAAAUAGCAUACAAAAUACUUUGUCACAUAACUCUAAUUACCACUCUAGGUAAAGUAUAGUGAGAAGACUCACCUCGGAUGAUGAACAUCUCCUAUAGAUGUUGUUGAUACGCACCAGCCUCUAUCUCUAUGCCAAACCCACAAUUAUCUCAAUUAGGAACUAGAUCAAAUCCCUUACUUAUUAGGUCUAAAGAUAGACCACCUACCAGCCCAUCAAUGCCCUAAACCCAUUGGGCCCACCAAGGGCCAAUAAUAAAUGGGUCCCCACACGGCCUAAUUUCCCAAACAAAAAGGCAAGCCCAAACCAAGGGCCCAAAGCACAUAUAUAUACACUUCUCUAGUCCAAGACUCUAUUGAAUGAGGUCCAACUCCAGGCCCAACACUCAAGGCCCAAUAUAAUGCUUAGCCCAAAAACCCCCAGAAGGAGUUACUGAAGGGUUUUGGUCAUAAGACAUCCUAUGUGCUCAUACAAACCCUAAUGCUUGGAUCUAGGUUUCUCUAUUGUACAUGCUUUGAAUCCAAGACUAUAAACCCUAAUUCUAGCAUAUGGAAAUCAAUAUUAACAUAUAUUUAGGUUUAUGAUAUUACCUUGAUUGUUAUGUAGCAAUAACAAUCCCAAUUCCUCCUUGAAUUGACUUUGGAAGGCUUAGAGUCACAAGUGUCACUCCUCUAAUGGUUCACAAACACCAUAAGCAAGAGGAUGAAGAGGAGAGAGGAUGGAGGCUGCCAAAACCGUGUGAAAACCCUAGAAGGUUGCUUGUCCACGUUUUUGAGCCUUAAGGGUUCUAUAUAUAGUGAGGCUAUUAGGGUUAUCUAACAAGGAAACCCUAAUUUGGUUGCUUAAGCCCUAAGCAACCCAUAGACUCCUUUAAUCAAGCCCUUGGACGAUUUCCUUAUGGGUUUCCCCAUAGAAUUCGUCCACCUCUUGAUUCAAGGCAAUCCAUGGCCCAAAUUGCAAUUAUCUUAUAAUUACNAGAACCUCUGGAUACUCCCUAAAUCGAGUAUGGGUCCUCUGCUUUCAAUAGUACGGGCCCAUACUACCUGCCACAUCUACCUAUACUCUCUACACAGCCCAUCCCAGAUUCCCUAAGUAGCUGCUCAACCUUCACAUCGCCAAUCUCAACACGCAUGCUCGCUCCCCAGCAAAAUGCUCUACUCUGUUAGCAUACUUAUCUGACUAAGGCCACUUCCUAGGCUCUUCCUAGGUUCUUACACUUCUCUGCCAUCAGCUGGUGAGAAACUCCUUAUGAUGCCAGUCAUCUACCUCCUGAAUAUCGUCACAUUCACUUGGUAGAUGACUCCCAUCAUCGGGAGUUCCACAAAGCACGAAGCAAGCAGCAUUCGGGCGUCGAAUAAACACAUAUAACCCGCUCUAGGUGAUAACUCCAAUAGCUCUACAUAUACUCAAAAGAUAUCACCGAACUCUGAAACUCUACCCCCGCGGGUGUCUAGCUACUCUCUCGGUAGGCUUCACAAAUGCUCAUCUAGGUAUCUCUCCUAGAUUACUCCUCUACCCAACUCCCUCUCUACAUAGGAUUCAUGCUGGAUACUCUUACUCAACACAUAUUCGAAAGUGCAUCACAGCUAACAGCAACUCCUAGGCUAAGGCAUCACAAAUCAGGUCACUCUAGUCCUAAAAUAUGAAAUACCUAGCCUAUCUCUAGCAUGAAUAAUAUCUCAUAACAUAUUUCAUAACACAAAAGUAAUGGUAUUUUGGGAAAUCACUGUUCAGGCUCUGGCUGAUUGUACACACUGCUCCUUCCCGCUUUCUCUUAGAAACUCUUACUCGUUUUAGAAAAAUCAUUUAUUUUCAAAAUUUUCCUCAUUUCCUCAGUUUGAGUCAAUAUAUACCCGAAGGUACAUCCGAAUCCCUCAAACCAAGGCUCUGAUACCAACUUGUAACGACGUGAAAACUCAAAACAAUUUUUCAUUUUUAAAAUGCAUACUCUUCAUAACAUAUCAUAUAAAAAUCUCUUUUAUUCAAUUACAAAGCACAACUCCAUUAUUAAUCCAGGAUCCUCCUAACUCUUUCUCUGGUGUGUACAAUCAAGUCGGUGUCGUCCCGUGAUCUUGAGAAGAAAACCUGAAACACAUAACACAUAACACGGUAAGCACGAAGCUUAGUGAGUUCCCAAAAAUACCACAUACAAAACAUAUUAGCCACUCGAGGCUAUAACUCUGUCUGACCCUUUGGUCAAUGUGUCUCAGUGGGACCCUCCAGUCCCAUAACUCUAUGGACCCUCUGGUCCUAACUCUGUGGACCUUCCGGUCCUAACUCUGUAAACUCUGUAACAUACAUAGCAUAAAUCACAUAGAAAUAAUGCAGUGUAUCACAUCAUAUAAAUAGCAUACAAAAUACUUUGUCA